UCCGUAGGUGAACCUGCGGAAGGAUCAGUCUUGAAAUCUGAUGCUUGGGCCGAUGCGGCCAGCCCGCUCGACCCGGCGAAAGGCCCGGCCUCGGUCGGCCUUUGCCACCCCAACGUGUGAUCCCCCGUGGUCACGUUAAUUGGAGCGAGAGGUCAUCCUCCGCCCCGUGCCUAGGACGAUCGCGUCGGGUCCUUGUCUGCACGUAUGCCCCCACCGAACACGUAUAAACACGCGGGGCAGGCCUCUGGCCAGACAUGUAAAACAACUAUCGUGAUCGUAUACAGUUUUAUACAACUGGUAGCGUUGGAUCCCUCGGCAUGGCUAUCGAUGAAGAGCGCGGCCAGCUGCGAAAUGUGAUGUGAAUUGCAACUCAAAGCGGUUAUCGUGAAUCAUUGACUACUUGAACGCAUUGCACCGCCCUUUUGGGAGUGGUACGCCCGAUUGAGUGCCAUAAAAUCCUUCAGGCUUCUGGGUCUCGGUCGUUCGCUCGGCGACCGUCGCUUGCACUGCAAACCGUACUUGUUCUGACGAGGCGGCGGAGGUGUGGCGGCGGGGGACUCUCUUGGGAGCUCUGGCUUCGAGGCUCUUGCACGGCCGAUCUCCGGAUUGGCCGCGCGCCUUCAGAUGCAUUAGCGGUCGUUUUCUCUGGUCAGACAAGUUCGACUCCACGUGAUGAUAUCAUGUUCGUGGAGGAGUGCCUUUGUGCACGCUUUGCUGGCUGGACGUCGCUGCGAAUCCGCCCUCGGGCAAAUCGCCUUUCGUGACCCGCGUCGCGAUCGGAUCCCAUGACGUUUGGCCUCAGUCGGGUGGGAUUACCCGCUUGAUUUAAGCAUAUUAUUCAGCGGAGGAAAAGAAACUAACAAGGAUUCCCCCAGUAACGGCGAGUGAAGAGGGAAGAGCUCAAAGUGUGAAUCUGGCGGCGCCCUGCUCCGACCCGAGUUGUGCACUAGAGACGUGUCGUCCGCGCUUGAGACCCGAGGCACUUAUGUUGCCUGGAAUGGCACAUCACAGAGGGUGAUAUUCCCGUACGUGGCCUCGGUUGACACUCGCGCCUGUGAGGCAUGCUCGUUGAGUCGCGUAGUUUCGUAUCGCUGCGCAAAUCGGGUGGUAGAUACCAUCUAAAGCUAAAUAUACUGCCAUGUCCGAUAGCUCACAAGUACCGCGAGGGAAAGGUGAAAAGCACUUUGGAAAGAGAGUGAAACAGAUGUGAAAGCGCUAUCAGGGAAAGGUUGGCUAGCUCUGUCGUCUGCCUCCGACGCUUCACGGCUCGGGGGCGAUGCGUCAGGACCCAUUGGGGCUGAGAGACACGGCGGUCGGGGAAUCGGCCCUUCGGGGUGUUGUAACCCGGCCCGCACGCGCGCUCGGCAACGAUGCGGACACGGGCACGCGGCAACGUUGUGCCCUCUCUGGCAAUGUGCUCAGUCAACCACCCGUCUUGAAACACGGACCAAGG
rnacentral:rRNA from 1 species